UAAACUGGCAUUUUCGCAUUAAAAUCAUCGUAUAUACAGUACGUUCAACUUGCAUCCUGUAGAUGGGCCUUUGAAGCUUUAAUCAGUUUGGAGCUAUGUUAUCAAAAAACGCACACAGACUCAACCAUCCAAAAAUUCUUUUUCUACCAUGCAUAUUAGAUAUGUAUAAAUAACUUAUAAACUUGUACAUAAUUAUGUUAAGCCCAGAUUUUCUCAGCGGGGCAACAAUUUUGCCAGGGAACACCACUGGCUAUCGUAUGUCAGAGGCUCCAAAUGCGGUAGAAUCCCUGUGAUGUUAUCCACUGUUCACCCCGUGUUCUUUUAAGCAAAUGAGCCUGUGGACACAAUACUGAAGUGAAGAGCAUCAGUAGAAUUACAUGUAGAAAAUUUCUUUUUGAGCGCUCUCUCUUGCAUGAUAUUUUUUUUUCUCGAUUGUGUGCUGCAUGAUUUUUUUUUCUUUCUCCUUGGGUUGCAGGAAAUUUUUUUUCGAAAUCUUCUACCUCAAAAGUCAAAUGGCUCGCCCCUUAAAUCGGUGUGCGUCAAAUGCCACUCUACUCGUUCUAUUCAAAAUUUAUCUUUCAGAUCAUGUUGUUGACAGUUUGGCGAAAGCCAAUUAAUGUUUUUGUGCAUGUAUAGUAAUUUGUCUUUUUUGUCGGGACCCCGUUAUUGGAGUUUAUCUCUGUGGUUAGUCCCAGCCAAUGCACUCGUAGAUAUUUGAAUAAGUUUAAUAUUUGUUUGGUGCGGCGAAUCUUAUAAAAUAAAAUAAAAUAAAAUAAAAUAAAAUAAAAUAAAAUAAAAUAAAAUAAAUGAUAGUCAGUAACGAUAUUCCGGUGUUCCAGAGCUAUGAGAAAUUCUAAUUCCAAGUUUUAGUGGGUACCAGUGAUAUUUCGCCGGAAGGCAUAAAUUGACAUUUGGGGUUUACCAGUCACGAAUGUUUUAUCACAAAAUACAUGUCCAGACAGCAACAUUGCGGUUUUGCAUGCCUUUCAACACAAAACACUUUAAAAAUGCAUGGUAUGUUACUUUCAGAAUAACACGUACUCGAUUCAAAUUUCAAAGUAGGUCAUAGUGUCACCUUGGUUGGAUACAGGUAUACAAUAUUGUUUCCUGAAACUGAUUGAGGUAUAAUUUACACGCACUCUCCUUUAAUUAGCUAUGAAGAUGGCGACUCCAUUAAUACAAUGAUAUUUAUAAAAGAAAUGAAUAAGCCUCUCGGACGUUUUAAAUCUCGUCUUCGCUCAGUUUUAUACAAUGACACAAACCAAAGAUUUUUACGUCUUCUAUACAACGCCUGCGUUUCAAGCAGCAAGAAGUGCAUCAUGCAUGGUACUCGACCGAAUUAGCUUAGUACAAGUAUUUUGAUUCUGUCAUUCAUAAACCGCUGUCUUAAUCUCCUAAAACUGAUUGCAUAAAAUUCAUACAACAUCACAUGAUUUCCUUAGUUAAAGUAUUUAUUUGAAGGAGUUUGUUUUGACCGUCCUACAUGCCAAAGGUCGGCUAAAAUUAAGCGCUUAUAUAAUAUAAUGACCGCGGGGAUGUCACGAAAAACAUUUGCAGUCGUUUCCAAACUAAUUUUAAUUUUCUUUCUUUCGCCUUUGCUUUUAUUUAUCAAGGGUAUAGUUAAUACAUUUUGCUGACGUUGCUAAAAGUGCAAAAUUUAGGCUGGUUUUCCUUUUCAUAGAUUAAGCUAAUAUAAAAACGGAAGGAUAGGAAUUCGUGCCCUUGAAAUAAUUAUAAAGAUAACAUUGAAAUAUAUUGUCUAUUGACACCACAGCAAUUAUUACUGUAUGAUAUGAAAGUUAUGAAACCUACCACUAUGAAACUUGUG